rnacentral:ribozyme from 1 species
UGCCCAGCAACUCCUAUCCCUACCUCCUCGUGGUACCGGCCGAAAAUUACCACCAACCUUAGGGAAGAUCGGAUAACCACCAACCCGGUGGGAACUUUGGUCGUAGGCUGACAGGGAAGG